UACGGAGGGUGCAAGCGUUGUCCGGAAUCACUGGGCGUAAAGGGCGCGUAGGCGGCUCAUGAAGGCUGUGGUGAAAGUCCGGGGCUCAACCUCGGAUCGGCCGUGGCGACUCGUGGGCUGGAGCACUGUAGAGGCGGGUGGAAUUCUGGGUGUAGCGGUGGAAUGCGUAGAGAUCCGGAAGAACACCAGUGGCGAAGGCGGCCCGCUGGGCAGUGGCUGACGCUGAGGCGCGACAGCGUGGGGAGCAAACAGG
rnacentral:rRNA from 1 species